GUAACAUGGAUUGCUUGCAAUCUGAUGACGAGUGGCGCACGGGUGCGUAACGCGUAUGCAAUCUACCUUUUACAGGAGAAUAGCCCAGAGAAAUUUGGAAUAAUGCUCCAUAAUAUCAUUUAUCAGCAUUGGUUUAUGAUUAAAGCUCCGGCGGUAAAAGAUGAGCAUGCGUUCUAUUAGCUAGUAGGUGAGGUAACGGCUCACCUAGGCUACGAUAGAUAGGGGCCCUGAGAGGGGGAUCCCCCACACUGGUACUGAGACAUGGACCAGACUCCUACGGGAGGCAGCAGUGAGGAAUAUUGGACAAUGGAGGAAACUCUGAUCCAGCCAUGCCGCGUGCAGGAUGACUGCCCUAUGGGUUGUAAACUGCUUUUAUAUAGGAAGAAACACUCCCACGUGUGGGGGCUUGACGGUACUAUAUGAAUAAGGAUCGGCUAACUCCGUGCCAGCAGCCGCGGUAAUACGGAGGAUCCAAGCGUUAUCCGGAAUCAUUGGGUUUAAAGGGUCCGCAGGCGGCCUGUUAAGUCAGAGGUGAAAUCCUACAGCUCAACUGUAGAACUGCCUUUGAUACUGAUAGGCUUGAGUUAUUGUGAAGUGGUUAGAAUGUGUGGUGUAGCGGUGAAAUGCUUAGAUAUCACACAGAAUACCCAUUGCGAAGGCAGAUCACUAACAAUAUACUGACGCUCAUGGACGAAAGCGUGGGGAGCGAACGGGAUUAGAUACCCCGGUAGUCCACGCCGUAAACGAUGGAUACCAACUGUUCGACCUUCGGGUUGAGUGGUCAAGCGAAAGUGAUAAGUAUCCCACCUGGGGAGUA
rnacentral:rRNA from 1 species